GAUGAAGAACGCAGCGAAAUGCGAUACUUGGUGUGAAUUGCAGAAUCCCGUGAACCAUCGAGUCUUUGAACGCAAGUUGCGCCUCAAGCCAUUAGGUUGAGAGCACGUCUGCCUGGGCGUCACAUAUCGUUGCCUGAUGCCAGUUUCCUCGUGAUGGGUGACUGUGCAGGGCGAAUGAUGGCUUCCCGUGAGCAUUGUUGCCUCAUGGUUGGUUGAAAAUUGAGUCCUUGGUAGGGAGCGCCGUGAUAGAUGGUGGUUGAGUGACGAACGAGACCCAAUCAUGUGAGACCCCUACCGAAUUUGGCCUUCAUGACCCACAUGCGUCUUUGGAACGCUCAUGACGAGACCUCAGGUCAGGCGGGGCUACCCGCUGAGUUUAAGCAUAUCAAUAAGCGGAGGA
rnacentral:misc_RNA from 1 species